UGGGGAGUCGUUCAAUGGUAGGACAAUAGACUUUGGAUCUAUUAAUCAUGGUUCGAAUCCAUGCCCCCCAA
rnacentral:tRNA from 1 species